AACGCUUGACCUAUUUCUCUAGCUCGACGACCCGCGACAGCGGACCACCCUUGCUUGAAUCCUUUUUCCAGCGCCGAUGUGCUUGUAGUCAUGGAUCGUCCAUGCAUGAAGCGAGAAGAGAGAAUCGAAGCCCGGAAGCUUCAAGUCUUCCGGCUGUUCCAACGCAUUUUCCGGCUAUCAUCGGGGUUGCAUGAGGUACCGAAAUUGAUCCUCUCGUUGUGCUCUACUUUCCUGUGUAAUUAGUUUUUGGCGUUGAUCGAUUUUUGUUGAUUUUCAUUUCUGGGUUAUUCCGGCCAUUUUGAGACAUUUUCCGGCAACUCCGGUGGCGGUCUGGCUUUCCUGGCAUGCGGAAGUUGGCCUACUUCUCGUCCUCUACACACUUGAAAUUGGUGAAGUAGUGGAAAGGGAGAGCAAAGGGAGUGUCUGUCAAGAUUGCCGUGUUCUUCAUCAAGCGCUUUGACUUGCCAACUCGGACUCUGCUUUUGAUUGUAUUUGCUAUCAAGGUUAGUUGGGUUCAGUUCGAAGUUCUGAGCACUGCCUUCUAUAAUUGAUUUCAUGCUUACUGCAUGUCGUGUUAUGAGAACGGUGAUUGGGACUUGGUUCA